CCGCUGAACUUAAGCAUAUCACUAAGCGGAGGAAAAGAAACUA
rnacentral:rRNA from 1 species